rnacentral:rRNA from 1 species
GAUGAACGCUAGCGACAGGCUUAACACAUGCAAGUCGAGGGGCAGCACGGGAGUAGCAAUACAACUGGUGGCGACCGGCGCACGGGUGAGUAACGCGUAUGCAACCUACCUAUCAGAGGGGAAUAACCCGGCGAAAGUCGGACUAAUACCGCAUAAAACAGGGGCACCGCAUGGUGAUAUUUGUUAAAGAAAUUCGCUGCUAGAUGCGCAUGCGUUCCAUUAGGUAGUUGGUGAGGUAACGGCUCACCAAGCCGACGAUGGAUAGGGGAACUGAGAGGUUGGUCCCCCACACUGGUACUGAGACACGGACCAGACUCCUACGGGAGGCAGCAGUGAGGAAUAUUGGUCAAUGGGCGGGAGCCUGGACCAGCCAAGUCGCGUGAAGGAAGAAGGAUCUAUGGUUCGUAAACUUCUUUUGCAGGGGAAUAAAGUGCAGGACGUGUCCUGUUUUGUAUGUACCCUGAGAAUAAGGAUCGGCUAACUCCGUGCCAGCCGCCGCCGUAACAC